rnacentral:rRNA from 1 species
AUGUUAGUAUACUAUUUUGUUCAGGAUAUACCUAAAGAUCACUAUGAAGAACCGGAAAGACCACGGGCGAUUGUAUCUAAUCAUGUGUCAUAUGUGGACAUUCUUUAUCACAUGUCAGCUUCUUCUCCGAGUUUUGUUGCUAAGAACUCAGUGUCCAAGUUGCCGUUGAUUGGUCUCAUAAGCAAAUGUCUUGGGUGCAUUUUUGUUCAACGAGAAUCCAAAUGUUCAGAUUCUAAAGAUGUCUCAGGUGCUGUAACUGAAAGGCUCCAUGAGGUUUCACAAGACGAGAAUUCCCCUAUGAUCUUACUCUUUCCUGAGGGUACUACUACGAAUGGGGAUUACCUUGUCCCAUUUAAGACAGGAGCCUUUCUUGCAAGGGCACCAUUGCAACCUGUAAUUUUGAGAUAUCCUUAGAGGAGAUUUAGUCCAGCCUGGGACUCCAUGGAUGGGGCACGUCAUGUGUUUUUGCUCCUCUGUCAAUUUGCAAAUUACAUAGAGGUGGUUCGCUUGCCUGUAUACUAUCCUUCUGAGCAAGAAAAGCAGGAUCCUAGAGUCUAUGCCAACAAUGUCAGAAAAUUGCUUGCGACUGAGGGUAAUUUAGUUCUGUCUAAUCUUGGGCUGGCUGAAAAGCGUGUGUAUCAUGCGGCACUUAAUGGACUGUUGUGUCAAAGCUAA